rnacentral:rRNA from 1 species
ACGGCUCAGUAACACGUGGAUAACCUGCCCUUGGGUCCGGCAUAACCCCGGGAAACUGGGGAUAAUUCCGGAUAACGCACAUAUGCUGGAAUGCUUUAUGCGUAAAAUGGAUUCGUCUGCCCAAGGAUGGGUCUGCGGCCUAUCAGGUAGUAGUGGGUGUAAUGUACCUACUAGCCAACAACGGGUACGGGUUGUGAGAGCAAGAGCCCGGAGAUGGAUUCUGAGACAUGAAUCCAGGCCCUACGGGGCGCAGCAGGCGCGAAAACUUUACAAUGCGGGAAACCGUGAUAAGGGGACACCGAGUGCCAGCAUCAUAUGCUGGCUGUCCAGGUGUAUAAAAUACACCUGUCAGCAAGGGCCGGGCAAGACCGGUGCCAGCCGCCGCGGUAACACCGGCGGCCCGAGUGGUGAUCGUGAUUAUUGGGUCUAAAGGGUCCGUAGCCGGUUUGGUCAAUCCUCCGGGAAAUCUGACGGCUCAACCGUUAGGCUUUCGGGGGAUACUGCCAGGCUUGGAACCGGGAGAGGUAAGAGGUACUACAGGGGUAGGAGUGAAAUCUUGUAAUCCCUGUGAGACCACCUGUGGCGAAGGCGUCUUACCAGAACGGGUUCGACGGUGAGGGACGAAAGCUGGGGGCACGAACCGGAUUAGAUACCCGGGUAGUCCCAGCCGUAAACGAUGCUCGCUAGGUGUCAGGCAUGGCGCGACCGUGUCUGGUGCCGCAGGGAAGCCGUGAAGCGAGCCACCUGGGAAGUACGGCCGCAAGGCUGAAACUUAAAGGAAUUGGCGGGGGAGCAC